UAAGAUGGAAUUUAGUCCUAAAAUUUUGGCCA
rnacentral:piRNA from 1 species